UACGGAGGGUGCAAGCGUUAAUCGGAAUUACUGGGCGUAAAGCGCACGCAGGUGGCUGAGUCAGUCGCUUGUGAAAGCCCUGGGCUUAACCUGGGAAUUGCAGUCGAUACUACUCAGCUAGAGUAUGGGAGAGGGUAGUGGAAUUCCCGGUGUAGCAGUGAAAUGCGUAGAUAUCGGGAGGAACAUCAGUGGCGAAGGCGGCUACCUGGCCCAAUACUGACACUCAGGUGCGACAGCGUGGGGAGCAAACAGG
rnacentral:rRNA from 1 species